rnacentral:rRNA from 1 species
AACGGGGGGAGCGAGCGUUUUAUUCGUCAUGAUUGGGCGUAAAGGGAUUCGUAGGCGGCUUUUUGAGUUUUGUUUAAAAGACUGAUAAAAUUUUACUGUAUUUCAUUUAAACUGUCAAGCUAAUUUUUGAGUGUUAUUGGAGGGUAGCAGAACUCGUGAAGGAGAGUUAAAAUUCUACUAUAGUCACAGAGGGCUCGCAAUAGGUGAAAGCGGCUGCCAUUGAUAUUACUGACGUUGAGGAAUUAAAGCAUGGGUAUCGAACAGG